UACGGGGGGGGCAAGCGUUGUUCGGAAUUACUGGGCGUAAAGGGCGCGUAGGCGGUUGGAUAAGUCAGCUGUGAAAACCACGAGCUCAACUUAUGGCCUGCAGUUGAAACUGUCUGGCUAGAGUGUGGGAGAGGGAAGUGGAAUUCCUGGUGUAGCGGUGAAAUGCGCAGAUAUCAGGAAGAACACCCGUGGCGAAGGCGGUUCUCUGGGACGGUACUGACGCUGAGACGCGAAAGCGUGGGGAGCGAACAGG
rnacentral:rRNA from 1 species